CUUCCAGGGACGAAGUUCAUAGCCGGCUAUAUGGAUUUUCUUUCUCUACUCUAAACGAUACUUAAAUUAUAUUACCAUGAUACAGAGCCAUACUUUAUUAAUAGUAGGCUUUUGGAAGCAAGUUGGUCCCAAGUUACUGGAUUAGAUUUUUCAGGAUAAAAAUUGUUGCAUAGGCAAGAUACUCUGUUUUAGUCCCCCCUAUUCUAUUCUCUAUGUUCCCGUGUGUUACACCUAAUUUGUGUAGUGACUUUUAGUUUUGUGGCUUGUGGUAGCUUGCUUUGUCUGUUUAAGGACCCCCGACUGUUUCUUUCUUUCCCAGGUGAAAUCUUUUUAAAGAGGAAAAUAUUUGUAUCCUUCUUUUUACAGAUAUCUCCAGAGGAUAUCCAAU
rnacentral:misc_RNA from 1 species